ensembl:rRNA 5S_rRNA 5S ribosomal RNA
GUUGGGGGCAAUACCACCCAGAUCCUGGUAGCUAAGCAGGGUCGGUCCUGGCCAGUACUUGGAUGGAAAACAGCCUGAGAAUACUGGGUGCUGUAGGUU